GGUGGGUCAGGUGACCCGAGGGGCUUCGGAGUGUGUUUGAGCAGUUGACUUAGGCCGUUUGCUCGGCCCAAAGUCCCCUCAGCAAUGGCGAGUCAGUCGCAGGGCAUCCAGCAGCUACUGCAGGCUGAGAAGGUGUCCGAGGCCCGCAAGCGAAAGAACCGGAGGCUGAAGCAGGCCAAAGAAGAAGCGCAGGCUGAAAUUGAACAGUACCGCCUGCAGAGGGAGAAGGAGUUCAAGGCCAAGGAAGCUGCGGCACUGGGCUCCCAUGGCAGCUGCAGCAGUGAGGUGGAAAAGGAGACCCAGGAGAAGAUGACCGUCCUCCAGAACUACUUCGAGCAGAACAGGGAUGAAGUCCUGGAUGACCUCUUGGCCUUUGUGUGUGACAUCCGGCCGGAAAUCCAUGAAAAUUACCGCAUAAAUGGAUAGGAGGUGGAAGCGCCUGCUCUGUGGGUUGGCAUGAAAUCUGCCCCCAUAGAAUAGGAAACCUCCACAGAGCUGGAGUUCUGUUCUGGAAGGCAUUAAAUUAUUUCUCUAUGCUGUUGUA